AUCUCCCCCGCCCCCGCCCCUCUUAGCCUAGGUAGCCCCACUGAGAAUUCUAGACAAGUAUUGAACUGAAGUUGUAUUACUGUGAGAGAAAGGGGGCGGGGGAUGGCGAUGGGAGAGAGAAAGAGAUCUACGGACCCUCUGGAUGGCCGGAGCAGACACUACAGUCUUCACCAGAGGCAGCCCCAUAAAAAUGUCAUCGUCUCGGGCUCUCCCCGCAUUACAACACAAUGAUUUCUUUGGGGAGGAGAAAAAAAAACUAAGAUUUAUUUUGCAACCACACCUCCGCCUCCCUUGGAAGAGAAAUACUGACCAACAACAAGUUGUGAAUGAAAUGUCUGCAGAUCGGCCCCCCUCGCCCAGCCUGAGAACUUUCCAGACGGAAAGGCGCACACGUGCACACAGCACCAGCUGAGCCGAUUUGUGCUGCUCUCAGCAGCCACCGGGGAUGGAGGAACCGCUCAAGGAUCUCCAGAGUGCGAGCCUGGUUCGGGACAAAGUUGCCCAACCUAGUGGUGUGAGCCACGUAAGGAGCUGGGGAGAGGGGAGUCUGUCCCCAAGACAAUGACAGCAUCUAGGGCUCAGUGCCAGGCUCCCGGGAGAAGCAAACAAGCCAUGGCUUUAGGGAGGGGUGCAGGCUCAUUAGAGAGCCCACUGAAGUGUUACCACCAUGCAGAGAGGAGGGGUGAGAGGGCACGGCUCUCCUCUGCCAGUUUUUUUCUCUUGGGACGGGGAAGCAGUGCUGCUUGGAAAAUAGCAAACUCAAACCUUCCCCCCAAAUGCCAGAAAUGUUCCCGGGAGUCCAGGCCACAAGGACAGUGUGUGCAAUGGCUUGGACCAGGCCAGAGCUGUUCUCCCUCCCCUUAAACUAUGCAUAAAAAGGAGGUUCCCCCACAUGCUCCUCCUGGGAUCUUUCUGGGGUUAUCCCACAUGAACCCGCUUAGAUUGCCUUUGAGGAAACAGAGAAGUGAAGAUCCCCCAUCCACUCCCCAUUUUGGAAAAGUGGACAUCAAGGCCCAGAGAAGGGACAGGACCAGCCCAAUGACCAACAGAGUCACCAGUGACUCUGGGGCUAUGCCUAGGACUCUGUCUCCAGUCUACUGUUCAUUCCCAAGGACAAGCCCACAACACAGUAGCAGCACCUGCAGAUGGAAAGCCUUCGAUCUCAAUGUCACCUGUUUGCCGCUUUCUGCAUAAGUAAUGUCAUUGUUGGAAUGAGUUUAUGAUGGUCUCCAUCCCCAUUUCUAUGAGCUGUGAGCAAGACAUCUGCUGCAUAGCUCACGUGUGUUCAGGCCUCCCUGGACCAGCAGCUCUGACUCACACACGCACAGAACGAUAACGCAGAUGGGAGCAUGCGCCUGGAAGGCCACCCUGCUGCACAGCACACUGACUGAGCAAGAACAAAGACCGUAAAUGAAGAAGGAUGUUUGCAUUCUGCUCCUCGCUUGCCUGAAAACAGGAAACUUUGGAGACCUGUUCUGGCAAGGUUUCCACCUCUUCCUCACCCCAAAGGGAACUGUGUGUGUUCUGAUGGUUCAAUGGGGAAAUGAGGAUCGAUCAUGAGUGAUUUUCCCGAAAUGCAACCUGUGCAGGUCUUGCCUUCCUCAAGCACCUGCGAGGAGAAGUCGUCACUAGUGGGGAAUUCCAGCAGGUGACCCAAUCGAGACAGCUGGGCAGGCUCCUGGAGCUGAUGGCUUGGGAAGGAGGGAGUCAGAAGUGGCAGGCCCAUGGAGGGCCUUCAACUCAUUGGAUGAAGCCCACCCUUAUUCCCAAGGAUAAUCUCCUUUACUCAAGGUCAACUGAUUGUUGAUGUUAAUGACAUCCACAAAAUGUCUUCACAGCAACGGGAUUGCUUCACAGUAAUGGGAUUGCUGGGUCAAAUGGUAAUUAUCCUUAUGAUUUUCUUAAUACCAUUGUCUUUUCUCUACCUUACUUUAUUGUAGUAAUACAGUAUAUAGUACCUAU
rnacentral:lncRNA from 1 species